UGAGUACGAGAUGCUACGGCAUCGAAGCAGUCUAUGUCAUACUUCCAAGAAAAGCUUGCAAUGUCAUAAACAAAUAAUGCCUGUACCAUAACCGACACAGGUGGGUAGGUAGAGUAUACUAAGGGGCGCGAGAUAACUCUCUCUAAGGAACUCGGCAAAAUGACUCCGUAACUUCGGGAGAAGGAGUGCCUUAUUUUUAUAAGGUUGCAAUAACAAGAUCCAAGCAACUGUUUACCAAAAACACAGGUCUCCGCUAAGUCGUAAGACGAUGUAUGGGGGCUGACGCCUGCCCAGUGCCAGAAGGUUAAAGAAGCUGGUUAGCAUUAGCGAAGCUGAUAACUGAAGCCCUGGUGAACGGCGGCCGUAACUAUAACGGUCCUAAGGUAGCGAAAUUCCUUGUCGGGUAAGUUCCGACCCGCACGAAAGGCGUAAUGAUUUGGAUACUGUCUCGGAGAGGGGCUCGGUGAAAUAGACUUGUCUGUGAAGAUGCGGACUACCUGCACCUGGACAGAAAGACCCUAUGAAGCUUUACUGUAACUUGAGAUUGAAAUUGGACUUUAUCUGCGCAGUAUAGGUGGGAGACGUUGAAAAUAUUCUUGCGGGAAUAUUGGAGUCAUCAGUGAGAUACCACUCUUAUAAUGUUAGAUUUCUAACUUUGUAUCAUUAUCUGGUCAAAGAACAGUUUCAGGCGGGCAGUUUGACUGGGGCGGUCGCCUCCCAAACGGUAACGGAGGCGCACAAAGGUUUCCUCUGAACGUGUAGAAAUCGUAUCUAGAGUGUAAAGGCAUAAGGAAGCUUGACUGUGAGACCUACAAGUCGAGCAGGGACGAAAGUCGGUCUUAGUGAUCUGACGGUGCUGAGUGGAAAGGCCGUCACUCAACGGAUAAAAGUUACUCUAGGGAUAACAGGCUGAUCUCCCCCAAGAGUUCACAUCGACGGGGAGGUUUGGCACCUCGAUGUCGGCUCAUCGCAUCCUGGGGCGGUAGUACGUCCCAAGGGUUGGGCUGUUCGCCCAUGAAAGCGGUACGCGAGCUGGGUUCAGAACGUCGUGAGGCAGUUCGGUCCAUAUCCGGUGUAGGCGUUAGAAUAUUGAGAGGAGCCUUCUUUAGUACGAGAGGACCGAGAAGGACAUACCUCUGGUGUACCAGUUAUCGUGCCAACGGUAAACGCUGGGUAGCCAUGUAUGGAGAGGAUAACCGCUGAAAGCAUCUAAGUGGGAAGCCCACCUCAAGAUAAGUAUUC
rnacentral:rRNA from 1 species